UACGAAGGGGGCUAGCGUUGUUCGGAAUUACUGGGCGUAAAGCGCACGUAGGCGGAUAUUUAAGUCAGGGGUGAAAUCCCAGAGCUCAACUCUGGAACUGCCUUUGAUACUGGGUAUCUGGAGUAUGGAAGAGGUGAGUGGAAUUCCGAGUGUAGAGGUGAAAUUCGUAGAUAUUCGCAAGAACACCAGUGGCGAAGGCGGCUCACUGGCCCGAUACUGACGCUGAGGCUGCGAAAGCGUGGGGAGCAAACAGG
rnacentral:rRNA from 1 species